rnacentral:rRNA from 1 species
CUACGGGGUGCUCCAGUGGGGAAUAUUGCACAAUGGACGAAAGCCUGAUGCAGCCAUGCCGCGUGUGUGAAGAAGGCCCUAGGGUUGUAAAGCACUUUCAGCGAGGAGGAAAGGGUAACGGUUAAUACCCGUUAUCUGUGACGUUACUCGCAGAAGAAGCACCGGCUAACUCCGUGCCAGCAGCCGCGGUAAUACGGAGGGUGCGAGCGUUAAUCGGAAUUACUGGGCGUAAAGCGUACGCAGGCGGUUGGUUAAGCGAGAUGUGAAAUCACCGGGCUCAACCUGGGAACUGCAUUUCGAACUGGCCAACUAGAGUAUGAGAGAGGGUGGUAGAAUUUCAGGUGUAGCGGUGAAAUGCGUAGAGAUCUGAAGGAAUACCGAUGGCGAAGGUAGCCACCUGGUUCAAUACUGACGCUCAUGUACGAAAGCGUGGGGAGCAAACAGGAUUAGAUACCCGCGUAGUC